UGGAUCAAGAUUAUACCAACCUCAGGAUUGAGGUUAUCCUGCAAAAUACCGAUCUCUCCGUAUUUGAAAUUCUGAAGAUCUUCAAAGUAUUAUUAAUAAAAAAUGCUCCUAUGAGUUUAUUCUUGCACAUUAUCUUCUAAUAUAUGAAAAUUCAAUCUCCGAAUUGGUAGAGCUCCAAAGGACAGAAAAGGAGAUAAGAUCUCUCUAAAUCCAAUCUCCAGAUUGGAAGAGCUCCAAGAGGCACAAAUAGAGAUAAGAUCUUUUAAGUAUCGAUCUACGAAUAAAUAUUAUCUUUCAGCUCAUAUAGAUACCAAUCU
rnacentral:lncRNA from 1 species